GUGGACGCCAGUCUGCAUGGAGCCGACCUUGAAAUACCACCCUUUAAUGUUUGAUGUUCUAACGUGGACCCGUAAUCCGGGUUGCGGACAGUGUCUGGUGGGUAGUUUGACUGGGGCGGUCUCCUCCUAAAGAGUAACGGAGGAGCACGAAGGUUGGCUAAUCCUGGUCGGACAUCAGGAGGUUAGUGUAAUGGCAUAAGCCAGCUUGACUGCGAGCGUGACGGCGCGAGCAGGUGCGAAAGCAGGUCAUAGUGAUCCGGUGGUUCUGAAUGGAAGGGCCAUCGCUCAACGGAUAAAAGGUACUCCGGGGAUAACAGGCUGAUACCGCCCAAGAGUUCAUAUCGACGGCGGUGUUUGGCACCUCGAUGUCGGCUCAUCACAUCCUGGGGCUGAAGUAGGUCCCAAGGGUAUGGCUGUUCGCCAUUUAAAGUGGUACGCGAGCUGGGUUUAGAACGUCGUGAGACAGUUCGGUCCCUAUCUGCCGUGGGCGCUGGAGAACUGAGGGGGGCUGCUCCUAGUACGAGAGGACCGGAGUGGACGCAUCACUGGUGUUCGGGUUGUCAUGCCAAUGGCACUGCCCGGUAGCUAAAUGCGGAAGAGAUAAGUGCUGAAAGCAUCUAAGCACGAAACUUGCCCCGAGAUGAGUUCUCCCUGAGACUUUAAGUCUCCUGAAGGAACGUUGAAGACGACGACGUUGAUAGGCCGGGUGUGUAAGCGCAGCGAUGCGUUGAGCUAACCGGUACUAAUGAACCGUGAGGCUUAACCUU
rnacentral:rRNA from 1 species